rnacentral:rRNA from 1 species
UGCCACCGAAUACAUUAGCAUGGGAUAAUGGAAUAGGACCCUGUCCUCCUAUUUUCAGUUGGUUUUGGCAGCGCGAGGACUAGGGUAAUGAUUAAUAGGGAUAGUUGGGGGCAUUAAUAUUUAAUUGUCAGAGGUGAAAUUCUUGGAUUUAUGAAAGAUUAACUUCUGCGAAAGCAUCUGCCAAGGAUGUUUUCAUUAAUCAAGAACGAAAGUUAGGGGAUCGAAGACGAUCAGAUACCGUCGUAGUCUUAACCAUAAACGAUGCCGACCAGCGAUUAGGAGACGUUGAAUACAAAACACCACCAUCGGUUGCGGUCGUCCUUGGCGUCUCGGUUUCGGCCGGGGCGCGGGGAUGGCUUAGCCCGGUGGCACCGGUGAAUGACUCCCCUAGCAGCUUGUGAG